rnacentral:rRNA from 1 species
GUAGGGAAUUUUGCGCAAUGGGCGAAAGCCUGACGCAGCAACACCGCGUGAAUGUUAAGCCCUUCGGGGUGUAAAGUUCUGUCAAUAGGGACGAAUUUUGACUGUACCUAUAAAGGAAGCACCGGCUAACUCCGUGCCAGCAGCCGCGGUAAUACGGGGGGUGCAAGCGUUGUCCGGAAUCAUUGGGCGUAAAGCGUUCGUAGGCGGCAAGGUAAGUCUGAUGUUAAAGCCCGGGGCUCAACUCCGGUUCGGCAUUGGAUACUAUCUAGCUAGAAUGUGGUAGAGGUAAAGGGAAUUCCUGGUGUAGCGGUGAAAUGCGUAGAUAUCAGGAGGAACAUCGGUGGCGAAAGCGCUUUACUGGGCCAUUAUUGACGCUGAGGAACGAAAGCCAGGGGAGCAAACAGGA